UCGACCUCGGAUCAGGUGGGGAUACCCGCUGAACUUAAGCAUAUCAUA
rnacentral:rRNA from 1 species